rnacentral:rRNA from 1 species
UACGUAGGUGACCAGCGUUGUCCGGAUUUACUGGGCGUAAAGAGCGCGCAGGCGGUCGUUCAAGUCGAGUGUGAAAGCCCCCGGCUCAACUGGGGAGGGUCACUUGAUACUGAUCGACUCGAAGGCGGGAGAGGGAAGCGGAAUUCCCGGUGUAGUGGUGAAAUGCGUAGAUAUCGGGAGGAACACCAGUGGCGAAGGCGGCUUCCUGGCCUGUUCUUGACGCUGAGGCGCGAAAGCUAGGGGAGCAAACGGG